rnacentral:lncRNA from 1 species
GAAAAUCAGCGUCUCCUUUCUCUGCAUGGCAGAAAAGUUUUGACUCCUUCCAUUUUUUUGGCAAAAUUUGACUCUCAUAUCUUAUAAUAAAAAUUUUGUGUGGUCAUGGAAUUAUCUGCAAACUCAAGCACUUUGACUAAAGAACUCAAAUUUGUUUGCCAUUUACAACGAAGAUGAUAGUGGUAAAAGGUUUUUUUUUGUUUCCCCAAAAUUUUCACCAUUUCGGCAAUCAAAUCGUUGCUCUCUCCGUCCCUAUCAUCCUUUGUCUCUGUUACAUGCCAUUUCAAACGGUUCUUUAGCCAUUUAAGACCCUAAACCUUCAAGAAUACCACCUAAAACUAACCUUAGAGGAACCCUAACUCUUCCUUAUAAAUACCAGCCAUUAGAGUUUUUUUUGGGUAGUUCUUGACCGCCUAAAAAAUCUACUACUAUUACUACUGUCUUACCUUCCUUGAAAAACUCUUUAGUAUAUAUACAGUUUCACGCAAUCAAAAUAGAGGAUUCUGUUCUUUUGAAGUUAUAUAGUCGUUCAAGGUAGCAGGAGAUAGUUGACCCUUUUGACACACCCCAUUUCACUGCCCACAAGUAGGUUAGAUCUAAACUUUUAUUUCUGUAUUAAUUUGUUUACUAUCAUAUGUGAUUUAGGAAUCGCUUGGUAUGGAAAUCAUGUUUUUAAAGGUAUUUUAGUGUUUGGGACGAAUAUGCAUAAAGUAAUUGAUUAGUACCAACCAAAAUGCUUGUAUGAAAACUCUAUUGUAUUUGGUAUUAUCGGUAUACUAGGAAAUGCUUUUAUAAUUCUUGUUUUGCCUAAGUGAAGAACCAUACCUCUUUUUGAUACUCCCUGUUAGGUAGGAAUAUUAGUUUGGGAAUAUAUUUUCAUGGCUUAAGAAUUAUUUUAAUUAAAACAAGUCCAGUGACAUUAUGGACCUGUAGUCUUAGUUGAAGUUUGGAAUAUUUAGCCGUUAUAAACUUUUUUCACUACCCAAUGAUGAUAUGAGACUUUGUUUCUUAAUACACCUAAUUAUUUGAGGUUUAGUAUAUAAAUUGAUUUGGGCUAUAGGUUUAACUCUGUUGCUUUAUUUAUGCAAGAAAUAGAUAUAUGUGAAGGUAUUAAUACAAAUAUUAAGUAACAAAAGCAAAGCAAUGUCUUAAGAAGUAGAAAUCAUGUAUAGUUAUUUGUCUAAAAAGUAUUGGGUCCAUAUAUGUUCUUUAAUUUUUUUUUUAAAGAGAUAUAUAUUUAUAUAUUUAGUACCACUAACCGUAUGUGUCCCAGUUGGACUAUUGAGCUUGUUUUAAAUUUAUAUGGUGUCUAAGUUUUAAUCUACUGAUGUAAAUGGAAUGGCUUAAAUACAAUUGAAAUUAAAUAAAUAAUAUGACUUUUUCACUUUAGCUGUUCAUAAUUAACAAUUUACAUGUCUUCUAAUUGUUCUAUUUAUUUUCUUUGAUUCACAUGAAUACCGGAGUCAGAGUUUUAUUUUCAGACUCAACGACGCCGCAACCGCUUAUCUUCACGCACAUCUAGCCUCUACACUUAUUGAAAGCAAGUCAUAAAAAACGGAAAAGGGUCAGAACUGUCCCUAACAUAUUGACGUCAGUUUAAAAAUGCCCUCUGUUAACCUAUUUUGAAAAAAAUGUCCCUACCGUUAAAAUUCUGACAUAUUUGUGCCCCUAACGAAUUGACUCCAGUUUAAAAAUGCCCCUACCGUUAACCUAUUUUGGAAAAAAUGCCCCUACAUUUUUAAAUAUAAGUACAUUCAGUUGUUAGACUUAGGGGCACAAAUAUGUCAAAUUUUUAACGGUAGGGGCAUUUUUUUUUAAAAUAGGUUAACGAAUGGCAUUUUUAAACGGGAGUCAAUACGUUAGGGACAGUUCUGACCAUUUUCCCCAUAAAAAAUAUUCACUCUUCUGUUUGAGAGCUUUGUCUUAGUUUUGCUUAUGAUUGGUGACUAACGUUUUAUCUUUGUAUGAUUAUCUUUUAAAUCUAGUUACGUGAUUAUUUAUUUUUAGUUGUGUAAAUAUUUGACCCAAUGGCAAUACAUUGGAUAGUAACUGGCGAUUAUAUAAUCAUCUAGGUUUUUGGGAUACUUCUUUAUCAUUUACUAAUACAACACCUAGACAUAGAGAUAUUAAGAAUUUAGUUAACUUGAUUUAGAUUGGAGGAAUUAGAAUUGAAAAUUGAGUGUCCUUAAGAUAGUGACUCUCGUUUCUUCUUUAGCCAAUAGCACUGGUUUUCAACUAUGGUUUUCUUAUUUGAACUUAUUGGAAUUAAUUUUUAAGCUUUACAAAUGGGCAAAAACGUGGGUUUAACCAACUCUUAUACAUUAAGUUAGUAUAAUCUUUCUUACGCAUAUUGACUUGCGGAUUUCUUUAAACAUAACAUUCACUUACACUUAGCCUUAAUUAAUUCAAGUACGGCUGAUAAACCAUUUAAAAUGUAUCUUAAAAGGUACCUUAAUAACUUUCUCUUUAGAUUAAUUGCACCCUUGCCUAGAACUUUUAGAUUGAGUAGACCAUUAAUAGAGUUACACUUUAAUUUACUUUAAUAAACAUUAGGUGUCCUAAUUCACUAUAAUUAAUUAGGUGGCGACCUUUUUAACUUUAAUUAAAUUCAGAAUUGCUUAUAUGUUGUACCUUAAUUUAACCAGUUUAAAAUGAGGUAUAACAACUUCGCGACUCCGUUGGGAAAACUUAGGUUCUGACCAUAACAGGCUUAGUUUUAUUUUUAUUAAGAUUAGAUUUGCAAUAAUCCAACUAGUUAAGCACAAAAACGCACGCAUGACUUUUUAUAAGCGGUGUCGAAAUUUAAAGUGGUGAAUAUUUACUACAAUAAAUAUGAGAGAUAGGAAAUUGAGAAGAACAACACUACCACCCUAUCACUUAGAAAUUACAAGUUAUAGAGGAUGAGUACUUUUUCAUAGUUACGGUUUACAAUUCGUUUAUCUUAUUGUAAAAUAAUUACUUUUUAAAAGUUAAAUAGUAUUUCAUUAUCACUUAUGGUGUCACGAAGGAGGACACAAUUCUACUUUUUAAAUAAAAGAGGCUUAAAAGAAAAAAAUGCAAAAGAAACUUAUACAAAGUAUUCGAAUCGUAGACCUCGAUGUUAUAAGUGAGGCGCUUGGCCAUCAGACCAGACACUAUAUUUUGUUCAGCAAUGUCAUGUGAUUUGUAUCUAUAUAUUUUGCCCAGUGUUUAUAUGUGUAUAAUUAAAGUUUUCCGGCGAAGCGGUGUCAUCCUAGGGUGCAUCCGCUCCUGGCUAAGCAAACGUUGUUGGUUUGUUUCUACUAAGUAAUACGGUCCAAGUCCAUGACACGUAUUGUCUACUUUGGCCCAAUAAACCUCACGGAUUGGUCUCUUGGGCUAAAAGCGGCAUACUAUAUAAACUUGUAUUGUGUUUCUUCUCCCAUUCUAAUUUAGUUCACCUUAG